UACGUAGGUGGCAAGCGUUGUCCGGAUUUACUGGGUGUAAAGGGGGCGCAGGCGGGAAGCUAAGUUGGAUGUGAAAUACCGGGGCUCAACUCCGGAGCUGCAUCCAAAACUGGUUUUCUUGAGUGGAGUAGAGGCAAGCGGAAUUCCGAGUGUAGCGGUGAAAUGCGUAGAUAUUCUGAGGAACACCAGUGGCGAAGGCGGCUUGCUGGGCUCUAACUGACGCUGAGGCCCGAAAGCGUGGGGAGCAAACAGGAUUAGAUACCCGGGUAGUCCCU
rnacentral:rRNA from 1 species